rnacentral:rRNA from 1 species
GACGAACGCUGGCGGCGUGCCUAAUACAUGCAAGUUGAGCGCUGAAGGUUGGUACUUGUACCAACUGGAUGAGCAGCGAACGGGUGAGUAACGCGUGGGGAAUCUGCCUUUGAGCGGGGGACAACAUUUGGAAACGAAUGCUAAUACCGCAUAAAAACUUUAAACACAAGUUUUAAGUUUGAAAGAUGCAAUUGCAUCACUCAAAGAUGAUCCCGCGUUGUAUUAGCUAGUUGGUGAGGUAAAGGCCCACCAAGGCGAUGAUACAUAGCCGACCUGAGAGGGUGAUCGGCCACAUUGGGACUGAGACACGGCCCAAACUCCUACGGGAGGCAGCAGUAGGGAAUCUUCGGCAAUAGACGAAAGUCUGACCGAGCAACGCCGCGUGAGUGAAGAAGGUUUUCGGAUCGUAAAACUCUGUUGGUAGAGAAGAACGUUGGUGAGAGUGGAAAGCUCAUCAAGUGACGGUAACUACCCAGAAAGGGACGGCUAACUACGUG